CCUGGUUAUUCAUAACCCUUUGUUGUCCGACUCUGUUGCCUCCGGGGCGACCCUGCCUUCGGGCGGGGGCUCCGGGUGGACACUUCAAACUCUUGCGUAACUUUGCAGUCUGAGUAAACUUAAUUAAUAAAUUAAAACUUUUAACAACGGAUCUCUUGGUUCUGGCAUCGAUGAAAAACGCAGCGAAAUGCGAUAAGUAAUGUGAAUUGCAGAAUUCAGUGAAUCAUCGAAUCUUUGAACGCACAUUGCGCCCCCUGGUAUUCCGGGGGGCAUGCCUGUUCGAGCGUCAUUUCACCACUCAAGCCUCGCUUGGUAUUGGGCAACGCGGUCCGCCGCGUGCCUCAAAUCGUCCGGCUGGGUCUUCUGUCCCCUAACCGUUGUGGAAACUAUUCACUAAAGGGUGUUCGGGAGGCUACGCCGUAAAACAACCC
rnacentral:sRNA from 1 species